rnacentral:rRNA from 1 species
CUCCUGGGGCAUUCUUGACGCUGAUGCGCGAAAGCUAGGGGAGCGAACGGGAUUAGAUACCCCGGUAGUCCUAGCCGUAAACGAUGGAUACUAGGUGUCAGGGGUAUCGACCCCCUUGGUGCCGCAGCUAACGCAUUAAGCAUCCCGCCUGGGGAGUACGGCCGCAAGGUUGAAACUCAAAUGAAUUGACGGGGACCCGCACAAGCGGUGGAGCAUGUGGAUUAAUUCGAUACUAACCGAAGAACCUUACCCAGACUUGACAUCGAUCGCAAGCCUAAGAAAUUAGGCCCUCUCCCACAAGGAGACGUGAAGACACUUGUUGCAUGGCUGUCGUCAGCUCGUGCCGUGAGGUGUACGGUUAAGUCCGCCAACGAGCGCAACCCUCGUCCUGUGUUACCAGCAUGAAAGAUGGGGACUCACAGGAGACCGCCGGUGUAAGCCGGAGGAAGGUGGGGAUGACGUCAAGUCAGCAUGGCAGUUACGUCUGGGGCUUCACACAUGCUACAAUGGACGCAACAAAGGGCAGCGAUACCGCGAGGUGGAGCCAAUCCCAAAAAUACGUCCCCAGUUCAGAUUGCAGUCUGCAACUCGACUGCAUGAAGUCGGAAUCGCUAGUAAACGCAGGUCAGCUAUACUGCGUUGAAUACGUUCCCGGGUCUUGUACACACCGCCCGUCAAGUCACCUGAAUUGUCUUCACCCGAAGUCCGUGGCCUAACCGCAAGGAAGGAGCGGCCGAAGGUGAGGGGGGUAAGGGGGACUAAGUCGUAACAAGGUACCCGUACCGGAAGGUGUGGGUG